CUACGAUCGAAUCCGAUCCCCGCCCCCCAUGGCCGCCGCCUCCGCGUCGCCGCACCCGGCGGCAGCCGCCGACCUGCCCCCGCCCCCGCCGCCGCUCCACACCGCCGCGCCCCGCCCGCGCCGCCGCGCGCGGGAGGUCAGCUCCAGAUACCUCUCCACCCCCACCCCCGCCGCCCUCUCCUCCUCCGCCUCGUCCUCCCCGCGCCUCUCCACCUCCUCGUCGCGCGCAUCCUCGCCCACUCCGUCGCCGCGCGCCCACACGCGCGUCGCCACGCCCUUCGCCAACGAGAACCAGCCCCCGCUCGUCCCGCCCUCCACCCGCAGGCGAGCCGUGCAGAAGCUGUUCGGCGAAAUCGGCGCCAACCCGCGGGCCUCCGUCUCCUCCUCCGCCGCCGGCGCCCCGCCCCCCAGGCUCCUGCCCCGCGCGUCCAGCGGGCCGGCCCCGUCCACGGGGCGCAGGGGCUACCCACUCCCCCCCACGCCCGCGCGCGCCUCAUCCUGCCCCUCCUCCGCGGACGACGCCGCGUCCUGCAGCUCCACGGACACCUCCUCCACCCUGACCGACUGCUCCGAGCCUGAUGGGAUCCUGGUGCCCGCCGCGCCCUGCGAGAGCCCGCCGCUGCUCGGCCCGGCGUCCUGCCGCGGCGGGCGCCUGUCGUCGGAGCUCCGGUCGUCGGUUCCUGAGUCGGGCGGGUCCACGCGCGGGGCGGCCAUCCCGCUGUGCCACCGAUCGCUUAAUUCGGCUCUCUCGAGCUGCCCGGCUCCGGCGGCGAAGGUGAUGGCGGCGCCAAGGCCACCGCAUCCACAUGGGACGAAACUAGCGGAGAUGAAGAAGGCGGCGGUCAUUGGGGGGAGAAAGGUUGCCGGGAAGCAGGAGGACGUGCACCAGCUGCGGCUGCUGGACAACCGCUACGUUCAGUACAGGUUUCUGAACGCCCGGGGGGCAGAGGCGGCCAGGGCCAAGGCUGCUGCGGCGGAGAACUCCCUGUUCGGACUGGCUGAGAGAAUUGCUGGGCUACGAGAAUCAGUCGCUGAUAAGAGGGCAGAGGCUGAGAAGAUCAAGAGGGAUCAGAGAUUGUGCUCAAUUUUUGGUGGUCAGGUGCCGUAUUUGGAUCGAUGGAGUGAUGUUGAGGAGGAUUAUUCCAGCUGCUUGACAGGGGCAACAUCUGCGCUGCAUAACGCCUCACUAAGGCUGCCUAUAAUUGGGGGUGUUAGGGCAAACUAUGAGGAAAUCUCGGAAGUUCUUAACUCUGCUGCGCAACUACUGGAGCCGGCGUCGCCUCUUGUUCGAAAUUUAUUACCAAAGGUUGAAGAAGUUGAUGGUGUGGCCUCCAAACUUGCACAAAUAAUCACUAGUGAAAGGGACUUGAUAGAAGAGUGUGGGAAUCUACUAAAUCAAGCACACCAUAUGCAGAUGAGGGAGUACAGCUUGAGAAGCCAGCUGCUGCAGUUGAGAAGUUGAAGUGAAAGCGGAGGAAGCGCAGAAAAUGAACACGACACCAAGUCAUAUCUUCCGACCAGUGGAGCUAAUUGUGCUCACCACUGGAAACAUCUUCCAGUAGGAGGGAGAGGUGGCCUGAUGAUCAUACAAAGUAAAAGGCAGAAGUAUCCUUCUGCUCUUUUUUUUGUUGGCGGGAAGAAGUCCUUCUGCUGAUCAAGAAUUCCUGAUUCUUUGUGAUUCUCAUUGAUGGCUUGGUUGAAGAACGGUGCUCUCUUUUUUGGAUAGUUUGGCAUGCACACGUGCAGUGUUUUUUGCCUCUUUAAAUAUCUUUUGGAUCUUCCCAGUCAAGUCGCUGGGCAGGGCACCCAUCAGUGGAUGUCAAAAGAACACUUGCAAGAAGUAUCCAAACACUUUGGUGGUGUCUGUUGCCUUCGACCGAGGUGUUCUCCUUUGUGAUGUAGAAGUAUGGGCAGGGCACCCAUCAGUGGAUGUCAAAAGAACACUUGCAAGAAGUAUCCAAACACUUUGGUGGUGUCUGUUGCCUUCGACCGAGGUGUUCUCCUUUGUGAUGUUGGGUCAACUGUGUGUAUGUGGUUUUGUUUGUA